UUAAUUGAAACCAAAACUUAGAGGUUUUUUAUUGUUAAUAAAAAAAUUGAAUUAAAUUCCAAUUAAA
rnacentral:tRNA from 1 species